rnacentral:rRNA from 1 species
GACGAACGCUGGCGGCGUGCUUAACACAUGCAAGUCGAACGAAGUGGCGAACGGGUGAGUAACGCGUAAUCAACCCGCCCUUCAGAGGGGGACAACAGUUGGAAACGACCGCUAAUACCGCAUACUGAAGCAGGGGUUUGCGUCUGGUUAGCUAGUUGGUGGGGAAACGGCCAACCAAGGGCAUGAGCGGUAGCCGGUCUGGGAGGAUGAACGGCCACAUUGGGACUGAGACACGGCCCAGACUCCUACGGGAGGCAGCAGUGGGGAAUCUUCCGCAAUGGACGAAAGUCUGACGGAGCAACGCCGCGUGAGUGAUGACGGCCUUCGGGUUGUAAAGCUCUGUUAAUCGGGACGCGGUACCGGAAUAGAAAGCCACGGCUAACUACGUGCCAGCAGCCGCGGUAAUAC